UCCUACAUUCCAUUGUAGGAAUCUUUUGCAGCAGUGUCAACAUAAAUAAGGUGCAGUCUUUAUUCAAAGUUUUUUUUAAACAUCAAUAACUUUGACAAACCUUCAUGGAACUGUAUGAAACUUCAACAGAAGCUUUUUAAUGAUCAAAAGACAGUACAAUGUAGUAUCGAGGGUAAAAUUUUGAUUUUUUUUGUUUUUACUGAUAAAUGGACAGAUAAUUUUUGCAGUUUACAGAUACAUGAUUAAGAAACAGUUUAAGGUUAAAGUUUUCCAGACAUCAAUUACUUUGUCAAACCUUCAUGGAAUUUUAUGAAUGCAUUUUAAUGAUCAUAAGACUAGUAUCCAGAGCAAAAUUUGAAUUUUUUUUUUUUUCAUUUAACUGAUUUUAAAUAUAAAAGAGGGUAUUGAUGGGGGUUUCUUCAUUUUAAUACGACUGCAAAAAAAAAUUUUGUGGUCGUUUAUUGGUAUGACGUUGGUGUCGUCGUUGUCCGGCGUCGUCGUCCGAAGACACAUUAGUUUUCACACUCUAACUUUAGUUUAAGUGAAUUGAUCUCUAUGAAAUUUUACCAUAAGGUUCAAUACCACAAAAGGAAGGUGGGGAUUGAUUUUGGGGGUUAUGGUACCAACAGUUAAGGAAUAAGGGGCCAAAAGUGGCCAAAAAUAAGCAUUUUUGUAACUUCCAGACAUAACUUGUGUGUAAGUGUAUGGAUCUCUCUGACAUUGUACCACAAGGUUCCAUAUCACAAAGGGAAUGCUGGGAUUGAUUUUGGGGGGUAAUUGCCUCCAAAUUUUAGGAAUUAGGGGCCAAAAAGGGGCAAAAAACAAGCAUUUUUCUAGUUUCAUGACAAUAACUUGUGUGUAAGUGUAUGGAUCUUUAUGAAAUUGUACUACAAGGUUCCAUAUCACAAAGGGAAAGCUGGAAUUGAGUUUGGGGGUAAUUGCCCAAAAAGUUUAGGAAUAAGGGGCCAAAAAGGGGCCAAAAAUAAGCAUUUUUCUAGUUUCCAGACCAUAACAUAUGUUCAAGUGUAUGGAUCUCUCUGAAAUUGUACUGCAAGGUACCAUACCACAAAGGGAAGGCUGGGAUUGAUUUUGGGGGUAAUUCCCUCAAAAUUUUAGGAAUUAGGGGCCAUAAAAGGGCCACAAAACAAGCAUUUUUCUAGUUUCAGGACAAUAACUUGUGUGUAAGUGUAUGGAUCUUUAUAAAAUUGUACUGCAAGGUUCCAUAUCACAAAGGGAAAGCUGGGUUUGAGUUUGGGGGUAAUUGCCCUAAACGUUUAGGAAUUUGGGACCAAAAAGGGGCCAAAAAACAAGCAUUUUUCUAGUAUCCAGACAAUAACUUGUGUUCAAGUGUAUGGAUCUCUCUGAAAUUGUACUGCAAGGUACCAUACCACAAAGGGAAGGCUGGGAUUGAGUUUGGGGGUGAUGAAUCAUAAGGGGGUUCAAAAAAUUUGGGGGGGAUUUUUUUUUCCUUUUUUUUCUUUAAAAUUUUCCAUUUUAAAUUGGUUAUUUCUGAUUUAUAUAUAAAAGUAAAUAAUAAUGAUAUGGUUUGAAUAGGUAAAUUAAAAAUUUUUAAGUUCUUAGACCACAUUCAUUCUGUGUCAGAAACCUAUGCUGUGUCAAAUAUUUAAUCACAAUCCAAAUUCAGAGCUGUAUCAAGCUUGAAUGUUGUGUCCAUACUUGCCCCAACUGUUCAGGGUUCGACCUCUGCAGUCGUAUCAAACUGAGCCCAGCGGAGCAUUUUAUUUAAGUAUGUGCCUAAUAUCUUAAAAACUAUAAUCGAUAGAUAGAAACUUUAUAAACAUCAAAAUUUGUCAGCAAGACAAGAUCUACGAAUAAAUCAACAUAGCUGAAAUUGCUAGUCAACUUCUUAUUGAAGUAAUUGCCCUUUAAUGACAAUUUUCCCCAUUUUAAUACAACCGCAAAAGUCUUAUAUUGGUAUGACGUUGGCGUCGUCGUCGUAGUUGUCGUCGUCGUCGUCGUCGACGUCCGAAGACACAUUAGUUUUCGCACUCUAACUUUAGUUUAAGUGAAUUGAUCUCUAUGAAAUUUUACCAUAAGGUUCAAUACCACAAAAGGAAGGUUGGGAUUGAUUUUGGGGGUUAUGGUACCAACAGUUAAGGAAUAAGGGGCCAAAAAUAAGCAUUUUUGUAACUUCCAGACAUAUCUUGUGUGUUAGUGUAUGGAUCUCUCUGACAUUGUACCACAAGGUUCCAUAUCAAAAAGGGAAUGCUGGGAUUGAUUUUGGGGGUAAUUGCUUCAAAAUUUUAGGAAUUAGGGGCCAAAAAGGGGCAAAAAACAAGCAUUUUUCUAGUUUCAUGACAAUAACUUGUGUGUAAGUGUAUUGAUCUUUAUGAAAUUGUACUACAAGGUUCCAUAUCACAAAGGGAAAGCUGGAAUUGAGUUUGGGGGUAAUUGCCCAAAACGUUUAGGAAUAAGGGGCCAAAAAUAAGUAUUUUUCUAGUUUCCAGACAAUAACUUGUGUUUGAUUGUAUGGAUCUCUCUGAAAUUGUACUGCAAGGUACUAUACCACAUAGGGAAGGCUGGGAUUGAUUUUUGGGGUAAUUGCCUCAAAAUUUUAGGAAUUAGGGGCAAAAAAGGGGCAAAAAACAAGCAUUUUUAUACAACCGUUCUAGUUUCAGGACAAUAACUUGUGUGUAAGUCUAUGGAUCUCUCUGAAAUUGUACUACAAGGUUUCAUAUCACAAAUGGAAAGCUGGGUUUGAGUUUGGGGAUAAUUGCCUUGAACGUCUAGGAAUUUGGGGCCAAAAAGGGGCCUAAAAACAAACAUUUUUCUAGUUUCCAGACAACAACUUGUGUUCAAGUGUAUGGAUCUCUCUGAAAUUGUACUGCAAGGUACCAUACCACAAAGGGAAGGCUGGGAUUGAGUUUGGGGGUGAUGAAUCAUAAGGGGGUUCAAAAAAUUUUGGGGAGGGAUAUUUUUUUUCUUUAAAAUUUUCCAUUUUAAAUUGGUUAUUUCUGAUUUAUAUAUAAAAGCAAAUAAUAAUGAUAUGGUUUGAAUAGGUAAAUUAAAUUUUUUUAAGUUCUUAGACCACAUUCAUUCUGUGUCAGAAACCUAUGCUGUGUCAAAUAUUUAAUCACAAUCCAAAUUCAGUGCUGUAUCAAGCUUGAAUGUUGUGUCCAUACUUGCCCCAACUGUUCAGGGUUCUACCUCUGCGGUCGUAUCAAGCUGCGCCCAGCUGAGCAUUUUAUUUUACCAAGGUAUACAUUUUUAUGAACCAAAGAACCUUAUU